GAUGAAGAACGCAGCGAAAUGCAAUAAGUAAUGUGAAUUGCAGAAUUCAGUGAAUCAUCGAAUCUUUGAACGCACAUUGCGCCCCCUGGUAUUCCGGGGGGCAUGCCUGUCCGAGCGUCAUUACAACCCUCAAGCUCAGCUUGGUGUUGGGCCCCGCCGCCCCGGCGGGCCCUAAAGUCAGUGGCGGUGCCGUCCGGCUCCGAGCGUAGUAAUUCUUCUCGCUCUGGAGGUCCGGUCGUGUGCUCGCCAGCAACCCCCAAUUUUUUUCAGGUUGACCUCGGAUCAGGUAGGGAUACCCGCUGAACUUAAGCAUAUCAAUAAGCGGAGGA
rnacentral:misc_RNA from 1 species